CAACAUCAGUUAUCGUUUAAUCACGGAAGUUAAGCAACUUCGAGCCUGGUCAGUACCUAGAUGAGUGCCCAUAUGGGAAUACCCGUUGCUGUAAG